rnacentral:lncRNA from 1 species
GAGAAAUAUUCAAGGGGCAUUUCUGCCUCAGUUUCUACAUGUCUCUAUGUAGAAGCUGUGUGUGGGAUUGUUUCAUCACAAGGUGACACAGUAGGAAAGAAAGUGCAAGUGUUUUCUCAUGUCCCUCCCUUUACACGAGGAUUUGUGUAUCUCUUGUGAUGGCUGUAGGUAUUAAAGGCAGUUUUGUUCUAAAUUCCCCUACUGUCAAAACGUGUGCCCCAAGACAAACACAGGAAGGCCUUGAAAGUUGUUAAACUGAGGUUUUUGAAUAGAAGGACAAUCUUAUUUUGUGCUAUGUGAUUCAGGGAUGGCCUAGUUCUAUGAAGGAUACCAGAACUGUGUUAUCCCCAGCAGGGUCUGAACACUUGGUCUCAUUAGACACCUCUUUCUGGCUCAGUCCACGUGCAGCAGAAUAUGCCUGUGUGCUUGGAGAUUGAAAUCCAAGGCCACAACCAUGGUCAGGUCUCUGGAUCUAAAGGUAGAUUUUUCUCUCAUCAUAAAAGCUGUUUCUGGAGAGCAGGAGGUAGCUCGCCAAGUAUUUGCUGCUAAAUAGUGAGAAUGUGAGUUGGGCCCCACACCCACGUCAAAAGCUGCACGUGUAUCCUCAGUGGCAAAUGGAGAUACAUGGAUUUCUGGAAACUACUUGCCAGCCAGUCUAGCAGAGUCGGUGAGCUCCAUGUUCUGUGAGAGAUUCUGCCUCAACAGAUAAUCUUGAGAAAUACCUGGCAUUGGCCUCUGGCCUCCAUGGAUGAAAAUGCAUGUAUACACACACACACACGUAUGUACAUGCCCACCUGUGAACAUAUGAAUGUGUACACAUGAACCACAUGCUUCUUAUGAACUCUUCAUACUCCAAGGCUAGUUCACUUGUGGUGUUAGCAGAGGCAGCCCACAGGUCUGGGUCUCUCUUUUGAGUCCUUCCUCUGCUUUCGAGCUGGGAUAGCUUAUUUGCUACAUGGACACAGCUUCAGAAGUCCUGGUAACAUUCAUUCAUGAGUUAUUCAUAUAAAUGACCCUUCUUUGAUCAACAUUUUCAAACAUAAAGUUGGAACCCUUGAGCCUCAGGAUUUGAUGUUACUGUAGAGGAGUGAACGAUGUCCUAGUUCAGAACCUGCAUGGCUUGAGGAGGAACCACAUGGCUCUACUUGGCUUGGCUGAGAAGCGAAUUCACCCCACCUCCUAAUCGUAUGUCACGGCACGGGUUUUCCAUUCAGGAAUUUCCAAUUAUUUUUUAAUAGUGAGUUCAAGUCUAACACUUUGGACACAGUUUGUAGUAGUUGCCCAUUAAUCAUGCUCAAAUUGACUAGGUGACAGUGGCAGUGAGUGUCCCAAUGUUCUGGGUUCCUGAAUGAAAGUCACAUACACUCAGCCUUAUGUUUUAAUAUGCCUUAAACAGCUCAAUGGCUGGACCACUCCCAAACCUCCACGUGGCUAAUACCUCCCCUCUGAUAUUCCUGAGUUAUUACUUACUAAUUCUAUAUUCCAUCCUUGUUGCUGUAGACUCAGUUGGCGGGGGUGUGGGGGAGGGUGGGGCCUGGGGCUGCUCAUUCCUGGCUCUUACAUGUUGGCUGUCUCUCUGUCCUUUACUUCUCAGGUGUAGCAGCUAAUCCUUUCCCAGCUUGGUGGCUAACCCUCUUCUUGCUCCUUCCUCAGUCCUUUCCCUGGAAAUCCUAAAGGUUCUGCCUCCGUCUCCCUGCCCAGCUGUAGGCCAUCAACAACUUUAUUUACCAAUCAAAACCAACUGGGGGCAGGAUCCCUCAGCAUCUACAUGUAAACCUGCAGAUUCCUGUGUAACUUGGGGGACCAAAUUAACAUUAAUAGCAUUAUGAAAGAAAACACCUCCUUUCUCAAAAGUCCAAAGGACUGUUUAAUUUGGUUGUAUUUAAGGAACACUUCGAGUUUAAGAUCAAGUAUCAACAUGCCUCAUGAAACAAUGAAAAAAUAAUUAAGUCCCCUGACCACAGGAGAGAAUGGCUAAAAUGUUAGUGACAAAUGAGAUGCAAUACAAAGAUGUCCUUAAUGAAAUAGGCAGUGUCUCCCAUUCUCUUUCUGUGAUCUGCAAUGUCCCAUUAGCAUGUGACCAAGGGGGAAUCCCCAGACUUUACUCUUCAAGUCCUGCUCCCUGGCAGAGUCUAGGCACUAGUGGUGCUGCCACCAACAGUUCUGCUAGGGUGCUGGGUCUCAUACCCAAGGACUGAAGAAAAGCAUAGUUAAUGUGAGCAAAGGCUCCACUAUUGGGCAUGGAGGCCUUCUAGGCCUUUCUCUGUGUUUCAUUACAGUGACAGCAUCCCAGGCAGUGUUGACACAGGCAUAUUGCUCGGAUGGUGAAUGCACCCAGAACUCAGUCUUGACAUUUGCUUUGCACCAAGGUGGGGUGGGGGAGGUGGGGUCACUGUCUUUUCAAUUAAAAACCAAUUCAUUCUUCCAGUGUUUGCGAAUGUAAAUCUCUUCACCAGCCUGCAAGGCUGGCUGUAGCAGGGGAUGGGUUUAUCAUUUCAGCCACUUAGCAGUAGGAAUGAGGACCUUAAAAGAAAGGCUCAGGUCUGGGGAGAUAAGAGGACUGGAGGCACAGAAGCAGUAGAAGUAACCCAGGUGUACAGGCCAGGCUUGUGGGCCCAGGAGCAGAAGGUUGCUACCACUGCCCACUGCCUGAUGAUGUGAUCAUGCUCUGAUCAAAAGCUUUGGGGCUAACAGGUGGCUGUGGUAUUGAAAAAAAAAUUCCUUCAUAUGCUUAAGUUGCUUUGGUUGUUGAAAGAACAUAAGAGUAGCCAAGGUUACAUUGGGCAAUGUGCAUUCUUCAUGAGCGUUAAUAGAAUUUGUCCUGCCAAGCCUUUUCACUCUGUUCUAGUGGCCCAUUAAACAUCUACACAGGUCCAAAUGAACCUGGAGGGCUUAUUGAAGUUUCUCUUGGCAAUAGAACAGAUGGGAAAUCACUCAGUCCUGAGCUCCGACAUUGUUCCAACAGGAGUCCCAUACAGCCUGCAAGUCACCGAGGGGGAGUACCUUACGUGCGACCUCUCAUGCAUCACCUCACAUCUCUUUUGUUGUUUUACAGCUUAUGAAACCAGAGCAAUUGUUUGAUUGAACAUUAUUGAUCCUCAUUAUUAACUGGAUGUUGCAACAACCAUCCUCUUGGGGUUAGGUGGUGUUGCCCUACAGAAGGCACAUCUACAUCUGCAGUAGACAGUCUUUAAGUGCCUAGUUCACCCCACUGGUGUAGCAUUUGGUCUCCUAGCUUUGGCAUUCCACUUAUGUUUUCUCUUGCUCUUUGACGGUAGUCUCAUGUGGCAGGGUAUACCCCUUCGGAAGGGGUAGAGCCCCAGUAGCAGUAAUGCCCUCACUGUAACACUUUCUGCAAGACAGACAGCAUUCCCUCUUUCAAGCCUCUGGCAGAGGAGAAAGCAUCUUAGCCAUUUUGUUAGAGCUGGUUCCUUUCUGCUCCCAGCUGCAGGCUCUCUCUUUAAAGCAUCUGCUUAAGCCUUUCUCCUCCUUGCAGGGCUCCUAUUACCCCAGGCACAAGAACAGCUCCUGCUGUCCACACAGGCAUUCCUGCCUGCCUGCCACGCCCAGCUGUAUGCAUAUGCCUUUGCCUUAUUUCUCAAUAGCCACAUUGCUCUCCCCAGAGCAUUGUCUGUCAAUGGCAAUGUCUGAAUGUUUAACCUUGGUUAAGCCCAAGCUCGCUCCACAAGGGUAAGAUCAGGACUGGCUUCUGAGGUGUGCUACUAUGCUGCUUACUGCACAGACUCCCAGGCCACCAAGCUCAGAAAAGACCCUGAGUCUGGCUGGCUGGCCUACCCCUUUCACCUUGAAAUCAUUGCACCAGACUCUGCCAAUCACCUUGCCAGUUCUUGUCUGGGUCAUGCCUGCUCCUGCUAGAUCUCCAACAUAGCCAUGUGCUUGGGUGACAUUGUGGAAAUGAAGGCUACAGUGACAAAAGGUGAUCUUAUCAGCGCAUAAAGUGCCAAAUGCUUAAUAUCACAUCAUAUUCUCAUGGCCACUGAAUCCUCCAUCUCAUUCUUCUCAUGAUGUUUGACAAAGGAAGCCAGGACUGAAUUAAAGUGAUACACACACUAGAAUGAAAGGAAAAGAAAUAGAUGUAAACCUCAGGAUGGACACACACACACACACACACACACACACAGAGUCUCUUCUAAAGAGCAAUAUUUAGAAAGCACAAAUAUGGUAAUUGUACUGAAACCACAAGAUUGGAGAAAAUGCCCUUCAAAUGAUAAAGGAAUUUAAACCAGUGACUGGGGUUCUUUAAAUCCAUCCUAAAUUCCCCAAAUUUAGAAUUAAUUGAGUGGGAUUAAUCCACUCUUUCCCAUGUUCAUCUAGGACCAAGGAACACAGGUGCAAUAAAAUAUCCAAUUGGAUUUGUCUAUCUUACAGCUGGGGAAGUCUCCUCCCCCCUCACACCUUCACCUUUCCCCCAGAAAGCAUGACUAUGGGACUCCUGUGAAGGCUGUAAGCAUUCAUGCUUAUAUGCAGUGUGCCAGUAAGUUUUCUGUCAUUUGUCUUAGUUGAACACCUUUUCCUAUGCUUUUCCCAUGUCCACCC